GACGAACGCUGGCGGCGUGCUUAACACAUGCAAGUCGAACGGAAAGGCCCUGCUUUUGUGGGGUGCUCGAUUGGCGAACGGGUGAGUAACACGUGAGUAACCUGCCCUUGACUUUGGGAUAACUUCAGGAAACUGGGGCUAAUACCGUAUAGGAGCUCCUGCUGCAUGGUGGGGAUUGGAAAGUUUCGGCGGUUGGGGAUGGACUCGCGGCUUAUCAGCUUGUUGGUGGGGUAGUGGCUUACCAAGGCUGUGACGGGUAGCCGGCCUGAGAGGGUGACCGGCCACAUUGGGACUGAGAUACGGCCCAGACUCCUACGGGAGGCAGCAGUGGGGAAUAUUGCACAAUGGGCGGAAGCCUGAUGAAGCAACGCCGCGUGCGGGAUGACGGCCUUCGGGUUGUAAACCGCUUUCGCCUGUGACGAAGCGUGAGUGACGGUAAUGGGUAAAGAAGCACCGGCUAACUACGUG
rnacentral:rRNA from 1 species